CAGAGUCGAACGUCGACUCUGCUAGGGCCACCUCUGAGUACCACGGGUACUCAGAGGCGGACCUUAGCAGAGUCGACGUGGUACUCAGAGGUGGCCCUAGCAGAGUCGACGUGGUACUC
rnacentral:pre_miRNA from 1 species